rnacentral:rRNA from 1 species
CCUANGGGUGGCAGCAGUGGGGAAUUUUGGACAAUGGGCGCAAGCCUGAUCCAGCCAUGCCGCGUGCGGGAAGAAGGCCUUCGGGUUGUAAACCGCUUUUGUCAGGGAAGAAACGGUCUGCACUAAUACUGCGGACUAAUGACGGUACCUGAAGAAUAAGCACCGGCUAACUACGUGCCAGCAGCAGCGGUAAUACGAGUGCCCCAAGCGUUAUCCGGAAUUAUUGGGCGUAAAGGGUGUGUAGGUGGUCCUGUUAGUCUCCUGUGAAAGAUUUCCGGCUUAACCGGGAAAGCGCAGGGGAAACGGUAGGACUUGAGGAUGCGAGGGGUCUGUAGAACUCAUGGUGUAGGGGUGAAAUCCGUUGAUAUCAUGGGGAAUACCAAAAGCGAAGGCAGCAGACUGGCGCACUCCUGACACUGAAACACGAAAGCGUGGGUAGCGAACUGGAUUAGAUACCCGGNUANUC